ensembl:lincRNA
GACUUCCUGGGCCCAGCCUCGGCCUGGAGGACGGGAGAGGCGCGGGCCGGAGGCAGAAAUGCCAGGAAAGGCUCCGGCAGCCGCGAGGCCGCGUUCCUGCAGAGAAGGCCUGGCUGAGUCUGAGGAUGAAGGACCCCAGACCAAACAAAGCGAGGGCCGGGCCGAAGGUCCCCGUGAGGAAGACAGCGCUCAGGAGAGGUUCGGGGCUGAGGGGCUGAAGCUUCCCGGCACCCAAACGUGGUUAUCUGGUCCUAGGCUGGAUCCUGAGCUGCAGGGGUCUCCCGAAGGGAGACUGAGAUUGACAAACCCGGACUCCUGCAAGACUGGAGAAGCCCUGAGGCAGGUCGAGCUCACCAGGCGGAGCACUGGACCCUGGGUGUGGAAAAGAAUGUCCUCUCCUUAGGAAACACACACUGAGAUAGCCCCGAGGGGCAAAGGGUGGUGAUGUACGCGCCUUACCUUCUGGUGAUUCAGGAAGAAAAUACAUGGUGGAAAACAUUGUAAAACACUUAAUAGUAACAAUCAGUGAAUCUGGACACAGGAUAUCCUGGACUUUUUAUACUGUUAUUGGGAUGUUCCUGUAAGUAUGAAAUUAUUUCCAAAUAAGAUUUUUUUUUUCAAUCAACAAAUGGGGGUGGAGGUGUUUCUAAAAGGGCAACACAAGGGAUUGUUGUCUUAGAACUAAAUAACUUGGCUAUGGUGGUGGACACACAACUUGCACAGGUGAUUAAAUUGUACAGAACUUCCACAAAUGAGUGUAGGUACAACUGGGGAAAGCUGAAUAAAAUAGGUGGCUUGUAUCAAUGUCAACAGAAUUAGCUCUCAUAGUAGGCUUUGUACACUUUUGUCAUUUGGGGAAACUGGGCAGUGUAUAUUCUUACAACUUAAACUGAAUCUACAAUUAUCUCAAUAAAAUUUCAUUUAACAAAAUCAUCCAGUGUA